AAAAUACGAUUUUCUUUCAAAAUCAGAUUAUGUUCUCCCAUGUUCGAUUCAUCUCUUUCACUAGCAGAAAAAUCAGACACAAAAACUAGAAAUUGAAGCAUAUCUUUCAUAGUUUGAUCCGUUGCUUGAAUUCAUUGCUUUGGAGCUCUUGUUUCACAUCAAAGAGUUUGAGAGCGGCUUGAGGCAGUAAGCUUGUUAAAGCUUGGUGCGUAAAGCAUUGGGGGUCAAAAUGUCAAAUAUGGAAAAAAUAGCUCGUUCUACUCCAACU